CCCUAGUAAUGGCGAAUGAAGCGGGAACAGCUCAAAUUUGAAAUCUGCGUCGCCUGCGACGCCGAAUUGUAGUUUCUAGAAGUACUUUCUAGGCGGGCCCGGGGCCGUCCAAGUUGCUUGGAACAGCACGUCAUAGAGGGUGACAACCCCGUCUGUGGCGGAACCGGCCGCUCACGAUGUGCUUUCGACGAGUCGGGUUGUUUGGGAAUGCAGCCCAAAAUGGGUGGUAAACUCCAUCUAAAGCUAAAUAUUGGCACGAGACCGAUAGCGAACAAGUACCGUGAGGGAAAGAUGAAAAGCACUUUGAAAAGAGAGUUAAAAAGUACGUGAAACCGUUAAAAGGGAAACGGACGGGGUUAGCAAUGCGCUCUGCGAGAUUCAGCCGGCCGGCGAGUCGGGCGGGCGGUUUGCGGAUCUGAAUGGACCGCGGCCGUCCGGUUCGGCGCCUCGACCGUCGCACUUCUCGCGAGCGCGCGCCAACGUCGGUUGGCACCGGGUCUGAAUGGCGCGGGCAAGGUAGGUUCGUCCCCUCGGGGACGAUCUGUUAUAGGCCCGCGUCGCAUGGCCCGGGGCCGACCGAGGAGCCGCGGCGCGUGCCUCCCUCGGGUUGGCUGGGGUCCCGUCCCUCCGGUCGGUAGUCGACAGCGGUGGACUGCGUGCAGUGCGCCGCGAAUGCUGCCGGUCGCGGGGGCGGUGACUUCGCACGACGCGCCCAGGACGUUGGCGGUCACAUGGCCUCGUUCGACCCGUCUUGAAACACGGACCAAGGAGUCUAACAUGUGCGCGAGUCUUCGAGUGGGUGAAACUCGCGGGCGGAAUGAAAGUGAAGGUGGCCUCGUGCCGCCGAGGUGAGAGCCCGUUCCCGUCGUGGCGCGGGCGCAUCAUCGACCGACCUAUUCUGCUCUCAGGAAGGUUUGAGUAAGAGCGCACCUGUUGGACCCGAAA
rnacentral:rRNA from 1 species